rnacentral:rRNA from 1 species
AUUGAACGCUGGCGGCAUGCUUUACACAUGCAAGUCGAACGGUAACAGGCCUUCGGGUGCUGACGAGUGGCGAACGGGUGAGUAAUGCAUCGGAACGUACCCAGAGGUGGGGGAUAACGCAGCGCAAGCUGUGCUAAUACCGCAGGUGAUCUGAGGAUGAAAGCGGGGGACCGAGCAGCAAUGUUUGGCCUCGCGCCUUUGGAGCGGCCGAUGUCGGAUUAGCUAGUUGGUGGGGUAAAGGCCUACCAAGGCGACGAUCCGUAGCUGGUCUGAGAGGACGACCAGCCACACUGGGACUGAGACACGGCCCAGACUCCUACGGGAGGCAGCAGUGGGGAAUUUUGGACAAUGGGCGCAAGCCUGAUCCAGCAAUGCCGCGUGCGGGAAGAAGGCCUUCGGGUUGUAAACCGCUUUUGGCAGGAACGAAACGGUGUCCGCUAAUACCGGGCGCUAAUGACGGUACCUGCAGAAUAAGCACCGGCUAACUACGUG